CCCGUGACUGGCUGGAAUUCCUCCUGGUGCUUUGGCUUCCUCCUACAGUCCAAAGAUGCACCGGUUGAUUCGAGGAAAUCUGCAGGUGCUGGAAAUUCAAACAAUGCACACAAAAUGACAGUGGAAUGCAGCAGGCCAAGCAGCAUCUAGAGGAGGAAGCACUGUCGACAUUUCAGACCGAGACCCUUCGUCAGGACUAACUGAAAGGAAAGAUGGCAUUCACAGUAAAGACAAGAAACACAAUGGAGUCAAUGAAAGACCACUCCAACAGGGCAGAUAAACAAACAAUGAGCAAAAGAC